AGGUCGUGAUGUGGACACUUGCGCAAUAAAUCCUUGUAUCUCUCCCAGGCCUCAUAUAAUGAUUCACCCUCAAAUUGGGUAAAGGUAAUGAUAUCAUUUUCGCUGUCU